GUGGGGAAUCUUCCGCAAUGGACGAAAGUCUGACGGAGCAACGCCGCGUGAGUGAUGAAGGUCUUCGGAUUGUAAAGCUCUGUUAAUCGGGACGAAAGAGCCUAGUGUGAAUAAUGCUAGGAAGUGACGGUACCGGAAUAGAAAGCCACGGCUAACUACGUGCCAGCAGCCGCGGUAAUACGUAGGUGGCAAGCGUUGUCCGGAAUUAUUGGGCGUAAAGCGCGCGCAGGCGGAUCUGCCAGUCUGUCUUAAAAGUUCGGGGCGUAACCCCGUGAUGGGAUGGAAACUACAGAUCUAGAGUAUCGGAGAGGAAAGUGGAAUUCCUAGUGUAGCGGUGAAAUGCGUAGAUAUUAGGAAGAACACCAGUGGCGAAGGCGACUUUCUGGACGAAAACUGACGCUGAGGCGCGAAAGCCAGGGGAGCGAACGGGAUUAGAUACCCUUGUAGUCC
rnacentral:rRNA from 1 species